CCCUUAGAUGUUCUGGGCUGCACGCGUGCUACAAUGGCGUUUCCAGCAAGUCUGCGAACCCGAGAGGGCCAGCGGAUCUUCGAAUUGGCGUCGUGAUCGGGACAGUCGAUUGCAAUUAUUUGACUCAAACGAGGAAUUCCUUGUAAUCGCGAUUCAUCAUAUCGCGCUGAAUACGUCCCUGCCCUUUGUACACACCGCCCGUCGCACCUACCGAUUGGAUGGUCCGGUGAAGCCUCGGGAUUGUGGUUCUUGCCGCUUUAUUGUGGCGUGACCGCGAGAACUUGUCUAAACCUUAUCAUCUAGAGGAAGGUGAAGUCGUAACA
rnacentral:rRNA from 1 species